UAAUAAAUAAUUAAAUCUUUUCUAUUAUGACAGAAUAAUGUAAUGGAUUUAAGACCCAUUUAU
rnacentral:tRNA from 1 species